GCUUGAGACAGACACAGUAAAUAGUUCUCAACAUGCACAGUGCUUUAAUUACAGUUAUGAUCCCACUCUUCUGGAUCAAAGGAAUAUCGCCAAGUCAAAGGAACAAUGUUCAUCAGACUCCAGUCGAUCUGCUGGGGGAGAUAAACGAUACAGUCAAACUGACCUGCAAACACAGCAUCAACAACUAUGACACCAUUCUGUGGUAUCAUCACUCGCAAGGAGACUCUUCUUUAAAGCUUGUCGGUUCAACAAUUUAUACAUCAGUUCAAAUGGUUGAAAACCCCUUUCAGGGUAGCUUUAAAGUGAGUGGAAAUGGUGAGCAGGAAGCAUUCCUUCAUUUUCUCAAACUGAGGCAUCCCGAAGACAGCGGGCAUUAUUUCUGUGCAGCAUACAGUCGCACAAUGAUAGAAAAACCCCAAAUACCCCUACAAAAACCCUCAUGUCACCCUGUGCACCUGGAGCAAACCACAUCAACAGGCACACUGAAGAGUCAGCCAAAUAGUGGGAGGAGCUGAAGAAGUAAUGGCAGAAAGACAGGCAGAGUUUUAGUCCUUUUCUAUCAGACAGGUUGGAU